AGGGAUUUAAGUUAAUCUAAACUAACAGCCUUCAAAGCUUUAAUUGACAACCAGUCAAUCUCUA
rnacentral:tRNA from 1 species